CGCGUGUAUGAAGAAGGCCUUCGGGUUGUAAAGUACUUUCAGCGGGGAGGAAGGGAGUAAAGUUAAUACCUUUGCUCAUUGACGUUACCCGCAGAAGAAGCACCGGCUAACUCCGUGCCAGCAGCCGCGGUAAU
rnacentral:rRNA from 1 species